UGGAUUAUGUCUUCUAAUAAUAUAGUAUCUAAUAAAAAAGAGCCAUGUUUUCAUUUACCUAUUUUUAUCAGUUCAUUUUCUAUCUAAUUUUUGUAUCCUCCAAACGGCCUUGGUUUAUUUACUGAAUAGGAUGGGAAGACUUAGGACAUUAAAGAGACAAUAUUCUGAAACAGUAAAUACAGAAACGAAGGAAGCAUGCCAUUCAAUUCAAGACCAGUUAUGGGAAAUUCUGCCUCAUCCCGAUGACGCCACUUCCAGUUCCAGCCCUGAUGAUGUAUCUUCUGGUUCCCGGCCCCGAUGACAUCACUUGCGUUUUCAACUCUGCAGAUCUCACUUCCUAUGCCUCACCAUAAAACUGCCUUUUUGAUUCAUCCAGUCAGUUCUGUUUUGGACUCUAAUCUGUAAACAACUCGAAUUUAAUUGCCUACUUUGCAACCUGAUUUCAAGCAUACGGGUGGCAGCCCCAAACCUUUUCUGUGGCAUUUCUGUAUUUAUUUGACAAUACCAAAACCAACCACACAACUGUUUUCCGUAACCCCUUACUUAUCUUACUGCCCAUAUUGUACCCUGUAUAUUAAGCCCAUGGGACCGCUAUGGUGCUUGAGCUGUCUUUACUUCCAGUCCUACUUCAUCCCAAUUUACUUCCA